CUGAUGAGCCAGAUAUGGGUGAGGAAACUAGAAAGUGGGCGUGACCGGAGGUCAGGGGGCGUGGCUGGAAUACCUGAGGGAGAGGACAUUCAUGACACGUGUGAGACGUUGAGCUGUCACUGUCACCAUCAAGAGCAGCGACGGAAGCAGCGGGUGACAGCUCUGUCAGCGCAUCACACGCGAGCAGAGGCGAAUAAAUAAAGAUGAGAGCGACGCGGAAGCGGAGAGAGGGGAAAUGAACGGCUCCUGUUUCCGCAAGAAGUCAAGGUUCGGUGUUAGUUUCCCGCUGCGCCUCCUUGUUUGGACCCGCACAUUGAAACUUUAGACGGAGAGAAUCAACGGGGCCUCGAGGCGUCGCGCGCGUCUUCCGCAUCCUCUCACAGGAGCCACGCGGACCCCACUUAAAGAAGCAGGUGUCUGUGAUAAUCGCUCUCCUUUACGCCUCGCGCACCUCGAAGGCAGCUGCCGCCAGUCGUUUACCGGAGGACACUCUCCAGACUGUUUAUUCCGGAAGUCGCCCACGCGCGCGUUUCAGAUAAGCGCCUUGUGCGUUCGCCGUUCGGGCUUCGGGUCCCUUCGUGUUCAGACUGGGAGCGUCGCGCGGGCAGGAGCUCGUCCGCUCCGCUCCGCCACGGGCGUCCGUGACGCCGCCCGCCACCCACGCUGCGUCGCGCGCCGAACGAGGGCCGGCGACACGCGAAGGCGCGUUGAUGACUUCGUUUGUCAGUCCCACGGCUGUGACAUAACGACACAGGUUCAUCUUCCUGUUGUGAAACCUAUUAAUUACUAAUUAUCUGCCUUCUUGGUCAUCAAACCUUGAUGCAAAUGCUUCUCAAAUUAAACAAGUCAAUGAAAGCCCAAAACACCAUCGUUCUCCCGCCCGACAGAACUCAUUCUGAACUCCCUGCUCUCCUUUUACGAUUAAAUUCCCUCUGGCCGUUUUGUUAGUCAUCUGCUGGUGCUGGAGUCGUCAUUAGAUUACUUCAUAGUACCAUCCAGCCACGCUCUGCAUUGAGCAGCAUAAUCUCUGGCCGCGUGAGAAGCUACUGUAACUCCACCUGCAGCGCUGUUGUGACGAAGUGAGUGUUUGGAGCUUGAAGUGAGAGAGGGCGCAUUCAAAGAGCGUGGCCCAUUUGGAACAAUCUUACCCGAGAAAAUGUCUACGGUGGCAAAGAGAAGUCAACAGCUGUAGACUUAGACCUGUGGGAAGGACUUGUUCUUUGGUGGUGUGGAAAAACCAGCAAAGCACCACUCCACGUCUGACACAAAUUACCCAGCAGCUCUGGCUGGCGGAAGCCGUCUCGCUCGCUGACUGACCUGAUCUGUCUGCAGUAAAGCACGGACACGAGCUGAGGAUCAAGGUGGGGCCUCCUCAAAGCUGGGCCAACGGUCGUUCUGUGCGAAUGCUGCAGGGGUCUCCCACUGCAGCUACCGAGACGCACCACGCGGAAGCCACGCGUCUGGAGAAGGAUGUGUGGGCAUGUGCGUGACGGCAAAGAUAAAUAACAGACUAAAAUGUGCGAGGCUGACAUUUGUUUUGGGUAGAAAGGAAAAGGCUGCGUGAUGCAGAGGGA